UGGAAUCCCAGAGUGCUACAGGUUGGUAACAUCUGGUCACACUCAGGAACACCUGGGUUGGUCUAUCUAACCGCCUGAGUGACAAUAUACUACUAAUGGAGACCCCCACCACCACCACAACCCUGCCCAAUCCCAGGAUGGAGCCCAGAGCACCACUAUGCCUUAUCCCCAGUGUCACAGUCUGGUUAGACAGAAGACAAUAUCUUCUACCAGACCUGUGACUUAAUUCUUAGACCAGGGGUGACCUGCUUCUAAUCCCUUGAGGGGGGCAAGGGGAUGAUUCUCACGAGCUGGGUCACUCCAGUGUGCUGGCAAUGGAUUUUCUUUGUUACUCCGAUGUGUGAUGAGGCAGGAGGCAUGAAAAGCCACACAAGUCUGACUUUGACAUUGGUCAGUGAGUUUUCUGUGACCCUGUUCAGAAAUGAAGUCUGAAGGAUAGAAGGGCUCCCAGUCUCAGCUGGUCCAGGAAAGCGAUGGGCAUUUUGGGAUGAUGUUAAAGUGCGCAAGCUCAAGGACCCUUUCCAGUUCCAAAGCCCUCUGUCUCUGCUCCAUGAUGAAGAUUGGUGCCAGAUUCCUCCAGCUGGCCCAACUUCCAUGGCAACCGCUGACCCUGGAGGUUUGGUUUCAGAUGGGAGCUGCCCGAGGAGCUUGUCUUCAUUACAGAACAUGAUCCCUCAAGUCUUCAACCCAGCAAUUAUGGGUCUUGAUUCCAAACUGGAAUUUAAUCAAUACUUGCUCGUUAGGGCAAGUGUCUACCGGCAUCUGCUGAGCCUAGCAACUAAAGUAUUUAUGACCAGACAAACCUGUUUUCACUGUCCUCUGUCAUUGCUCCAUCUCAGGCAGACAGCCAUGCCUCAGACGGAAAGCUAAACCAUUCUGAGCACAGUCUGCAGAAACUGUAUUCCAGUAAUCCCAAAGGAACAGAGAUUCUAGGAGCCGAAAGCUCAUAUCACAAGGUAAUCGUUCUUCCUCCAGUGCACACUUUCACCUCUCAGACCUGUGGUGGGUUCACUGUGAAUUUCUUCACUCUCUACUGUGGGCAUUGUGACUGGCACAAGCAUUGUUGGGGAACCGGCAUGAGGUUUGAACAAUGUUUUUCUGUAAGGACAUCACCUCUGGGAAGGAGCUAAGGCACACACCAAGCACAAUCCACCCAACAGCUUGCUUAGUCUCUCUCCUUCUCUCGCCUGGAAAUCCCCUGGGGAGUGUCUCUCUGGUUCAUGUGUCUUGGUCUUAGGCACGUUCUGCAUUUGGUUGCAUUUAAAACUCUACUAUUGAAAGGCAUCAGUGACCGCGUCCCCCAAAGACACUCAGCACCAAUCAGAUCCUCUGGCUUGUCCUAAUUCCAUUCUUCCCACCCAGUAUGAGCAGUCCCAUUGAUAGCUGAGCCUCUUCAUCCCACUGAUGCUGGUGUCAUCACAUACAGUCGUCCCAUGUUGCUUCUGUGCCCACUGUCCCUACAGCUGUUGGGAGUGUGUAUGGACUUGCUUCUCCUCCCCUGGCACCCGCAGUACCCAGAAAAGUUAUUGAUGUCAAUGCUGGCCGCCACAUGGCUAUAUUGGAGGUGGAAAGGCUAGGGAUAGAGCAAUAGGACUAACAGGAAGAAGAAUGGGAAAUCCAGGCCACUGCAGAUGCCAACCUCUGGGCCACUCUAGAAGAAACAGAGAGUUCUUGUAGAGAGAUCCCCUCACAGGGGAUGCUGGUGGGUAGAAACAGUCUAGACCUGUGGUGAUUCUUUGAUGGUUGUAUAUGUUUGUUCAUAAUGGAUUUCUGGACUAGAUUAGCCUUGAACUCGCUAUGGAGCUGAGGGUGACAUUGAAAUUCUGAUCCUCUUCCCUCUACCUUUUGAGUGAUGGGAUUCCAAGUGUGUGCCAACUGAUUUGCGUGGUCCUGGGCAUCUGAACCAGGUCUGGGUGCUGGCUAGGCAAUACUGUAUCAAGUCUGGGUGCUUACUAGGCAACACUGUAUCAGAACUCUGAGAGUGCUACGUAACAUUUAUCAGGCCUGGAUGCAUUCUAGGCAACAUUGUACCAAAGGAACUCCAUUCUCAGGUCCUGAGCUUUGUGUUUAAAGAGUUCUUCCCCAGGAGUCUCACUCUCACCCAGGUUUAGGAGGAAGCUGUGGCCCCUUUGAAGUCAGUUCUUUUUCUGACUUCAGUGGCUACCACUCCAUAUGCAGACCCCAGGAUUAUGGUGGUCUCAGCCAGUACACUGGAAUGGGAAGGAUGUUCUGGCGGACUUGGGCACAUGUUGGGAGCACCAUUGCCCUACAGGCAUGGGACCAGCAUAGGGUAUUCUACUCUAUGACAGCUGUAACCUUGGGUUUCUGAAGACAUGGAUCAGAAGUUAAGGGGCUCAUGAACACAUUCUCAGGGAGGCAUUGGUGAUUCAAGACAGAACCCUGGGGAAGCAGGGUCAGGAAUGCCCUCAGUCUCUACCUAGUCUGAGCCUGUGUCACAGCACACACAUCACAGUUUCAGCAUCAUGGGGGUGACAGAAAGUUCCCCUGGAAAGAAAAAUACCACGUGGUGGAACCAUCCCAGAAUCAGCUUGUCCAGUGUAAUGUAGCCCCUCUGUCAAGAAAAUCCAGCCGUUUCUAUAGCAAUGUCUGGAGCAACCAAUCUGUUUGGGCUGCUGUCACAAAACGCCAUGGGCUAAAGUGGCACAACCUCCCUUGUCACUUCCUCAGAGACUGGUAAGUCCCCAAAUUUUAUUGCAUUGUGGUGAUCUCUCUCUCUCUCUCUCUCUCUCUCUCUCUCUCUCUCUCUCUCUCUCUCGUUUCUCCCUGUGGCUCAUAUAAAGACAGAGGGAGUUCUGCCCCCCUUCCUUUUCUUAUGAGGAUGCUAUGAGGGAUCCCCUUCCACGACAUCAUCUAAACCUGAUUGCAUCCUGUGGGACCCACCUUUGGUUAUCAUCACAUUGUAGAUGUGGGCUUCAGCAUGUGAUCGUGAGGUGAGACACACAUCCAGUCCAUACAACUCUCCAUCUGUGUUAUUCACUGCCAGAACUUCCUAGGCAUGUCCACAGAGCUCAUCAGAAGACAUGGAGAUUCCAUUUGAAACCGUGGACUCUGAUACCUACUGUAUAUGUUUGCCUGCAAAGGGAGACCCUUCUUUCUGGUCUACAAGGGUCUUUCCAGACCGCAGGAGAGGAAACAGAACAAUAAAGGGACACAGUGACCACCAGGGGCCACACCACAGUUUGCUUUAUUGGUGUCUAGCACAUGAGGAAGGGACCAGGAGCUGAAGGAUAUAGUGGAAAUGCUACAUUACUGGGCUGCCCUAAAAGAUUGGAGGAACCAUGGUCCUGCCAACACACAUGGAUUCUACCUUCCAAUGUACAAGAUAAUAUGUUCGUGCAGACAUGCCACCAUGACUGAUGUGCGAUCUUCACAGUCGACUUGACUAGAUAGAGAAUCACCAUGGAAACGCACUUCUGUGACGGAGUUUCUACAAGGGAUGCAAAGUGACUGGCUGUUUCAUGCCAAGAUGGGCUGUGCCCUCAAACUCAGACCUAGAAUAAAUGCUACUGUCCUUAAAUCACAGCAAGGAAAAAGAGUGACUGAUACCGGCACUAGCGUGUGGCACUUCCUUGGGGCCAGCCGUGGGAGCCUAGCACCCUACCUGGGUUUUUGUGGGUGAGGCUCAGAUUCGGUUUUUAUGGUUUCUCAUGCCCAUUAUCUGCAGAAGAUCUUGGCAAUGUUUACGGACGCUGGGGAGAUGAACUUUCUUCUGAAGACUCACACCUGGUGUUUUAAGUAGUCACAGCAUCUGUCUUUCCCAGCAUUCCCAGCUGGGCACAGAGCUGUGCACAGCCCGGGGGGAGAGGGGUCUGCACCCCCUGGAUGUGGUCUGAUGAACUUGCACAUCACAGAAGCUUCCGUCUCUCCCCUCCCCCUCCCAGACAGCACAUAAUUACCCCUCCGCUCCCAGCAGCUCCCACCUAGGAGGCGAAGGAGCUUGCCAGCACAGAGCUUUCCUGCCUAGAAUGGCUCCCACCUACGUCUUUCACAAACAAGGCGCAUAGUCAACCAUUAUGAAAGGAAAAACAAAAACAAACAAACAAAAAAAAAACGAAACCCAAGCGAUUAUUCGUGAAGGGCCAGAAUUUUAAUAAUACAGUAGGAGAAUUGUCCCUAGAGGAUAGCUGCUAAUAUGAACAAGAGCUUGCCUGAUUGUUUGGGGAUCAGAAAGGGACAAUUUUGAGUAGUAAACUUUAGAAAUUCAGCCCAAGGAGAGGACACCUUGCCUGGAGCUUAAGGUGAAACUUUGGGAAGUUCACAGAGAGCCUGAGAGAGUUCCUAGGGUAGGGAACACCACAGGGACUGGCUCCAGAAAGGUCAGAAGUCCUGAGCGUCCCUCCCCAGCUUCCAGGGGCAGAAGAGGACAGAGGGUAGGAGGAGAAUGUCAUGUGGUGGGAGAGGGUGAGAAGGAAGCGCUGACUGUUUCAUGUUGGAAGGUGAGCUUAGAAGAUCCGGCCAUUCACUUAAACCCAUUCUAAUGAUCACCCUCUGAGCUUUAAGCAUUGUCCUUGUUAUCUGACAUGGAAGGAUGAACCAGGCCCCGGGGAGUGGAGUGCUGCCCACAGAAUAAGAAAUGAAAUAAAUGGCAAAACCCUGGAAUGUGCUCAGAAAUAACAGCGAGCAGGGGGUGAUGUUGGGGUUGUUUGCCCUGGGAAAUGACAGGUCACUGGGCAUAUCUAGCUGGUACCCCCCAUGUGCCCUCUUUCUCUUUUCUCCCUCUCUUGCCCUCCCCACCUCUCCCAGGUUCAUUAUGGACCCGUCCAGAUGCCUCUGGCUCUACUCUCCCUCACAUCUGCAAUAAAAACCUCCUCAACCAUACUUGGAGUGGUUAUGUCCUCAUUUUCAGUCAGAAUCUGUCCUCUUGUAACUUUAUUCACUGUGUUCUUUUUCUAAAAGUCCUUUUUUUUUUUUUUCCUACCUUGGGCAGUACCUCUGCCUGGCAUCUUCUCCUAGCCACUGGACUAUAGAGUUAAGGGUUAUUCAGUAACCCUGGCAAUUAAAGCUUGGUGUCCCAAAGGGGCCUGUAAAGGCUGGAGGGUUAGGUGGUCCAGCAAGUAGCCUAAAAGGCAUACUGGAACGGCUAGCUGGAAGUGGUAAAAACUUGAAGGGUACCCUAGACAGGGUGGAUAAUGUAGGGAUGCUGGAGAGGGGUACCAAAUGGGAUGGAAGGAAGAUUAAAGCCACAGGCUAAGACAGGGACCUGCUACAAGGCCAUGCAUAGCUGAUAAGGGAUGAACUUGCUGAACAUUUUUGUCUGUAAAUAGAAGCACCUCAUCCCUGGAGACCUGGAGAAGAGAGGCCCACCAGUUGGUAGCCAACAGCAUAUCUGUUAAGGGGACUCACAGAAGUGUGGAGACUGCUGUUGUGGGAAAAUGCUUUUGUAUACUGUAAAGAUUUGUCACUUAUAUUGGUUUAAUAAAACACUGACUGGCCAGUAGCCAGGCAGGAAGUAUAGUUUGAGCAACCACACUAGAAGAAUUCUGGGAACAGGAAAGGCAGAGAUGGAAUCACCAGCCAGACACAGAGGAAACAAGAUGAGAAUGCCUCUCUGAGAAAAGGAACCAAGUCAUGAGGCUAAACAUAGACAAAAAUUGUCGAUUGCCUUGGGUGGGCUACUCAGUCUAGGGGUUUGUAACCCACCCUGCAAUCAGUUAUUCCAGGGUCACAGAGGGGCGCUACCUGGAAGGGAAUGAGCUAAGACAGAAGAAGGAGGCCAAGCAGAUUUGUCAAAGCCUCCGUUUAUUAGGGUCAUGGUUGCUGCUUAUAUAGGCCCUGCAUGAGGACUUGGUGGGCAGGGCAUGGGAUGCGCGUGGUCCCGGUCACGUAGGCCAGGUUACAUUCGGACGGGUAGGUCAGAAGUCACAAGUUGCCACACCUAGUUCCCUGGAUAGCUGGAAUGUGAGGCGGGUUCCGCUAACAGAUUAAUAGUUAAUUGGGUGAGGGGCAGGUUUUCUCAAUAGAACAUAAUUAUGGGUGUGGGGUUCUCUGCAGACUCCCUAGGGUGAUGGUUUCUGUAAUGAUUUUUAGAGGGGAAAUGGCUCCUGACAAAAAAUCAUGGCUAAUUUAGUUGUAAGAGUUAGUUAAUAAUAAGCCUGAGCUAAUAGGCCAAGCAGUUUAUGAUAAAUAUAAACAUAUAAACACAUAUGAUGAAUAUGUGUGUUUCUUUGGGACUGUACCAGCCAUGGGACUGGGUGGGACAGAAACUUCCAUCUAUAGACUGCCAUGCCAAGGAUAUGCAGGGAGAAUCUGGCAGGUAGCCAAGGUGGUGGUGAAAUGACUAGAAUCCAAAAUUUGCCCCUUGACCUGCAGGCUCAAGAACACAUAGAGACCAUAAUGGCAGUGCUUUAGCAUGGAGGGGCUAUAUCUGGCACUCAGGUGAGCUCUGAAAUUCUCUGUGCAACCUAGGAAGGAAAAGGCUAGCUCUCUGCUCCCGGGUGGCUUCCUGGAUGCUGCUGACCCUGGUUGAAAUUACAAUGGUCUCUUUAGGUGGUAGUGUGCCUGCUCUAAUUUAAGGUUUAAAAUAGUAAGAUUAUACUUCUAAGCUCCAGCUGAGUCCUGUAAGAGUUCAGGCUUUGAGGAUCCAUUCCCAUGUGCAUAUUUACAUAUGCAUUAAGGAGCUCCGUACUUUCAUGAUUUAUGUUGUUGGAAAUUCUAAAUGGUUACUGGGGGUUUUAGGGUAAAAGUCUGGGCUCUGGGCUCAGUCUGGAGUGAUGGCUCAGGGGUUAAGAGCACUGACUGCUCUUUCAGAGGACCCUGGUUUAAUUUCCAGCACCUACAUGGCAGCUCACAACUGUUGGUAACUCCAGUUCCAGGGGACCUGACAUCCUUCCACAGACUUACAUGCAGACAAAGCCCCAGUGCACAUGAAAUAAAAUAAAUAACUUAAAAAAAACAUUUUCAAAAAGUUUGGGCUCACCGGGCGAUGGUGGCGCACGCCUUUAAUCCCAGCACUCGGGAGGCAGAGGCAGGCGGAUCUCUGUGAGUUCGAGACCAGCCUGGUCUACAGAGCUAGUUCCAGGACAGGCUCCAAAGCCACAGAG